CAAAGGAUCCAGUCAUGUCAGCCACGCCUUUGCUUCUGGGUUCAGUGUGUAAAAAAGGGGGAGGCUCCUCCACAACCCACAUAACCACGCUGCCUUGAGAUUUGCGGUCCGUUGUGAGUGAGCUGAGGUCACGGAACACGAGAACUGCCUUGCACCUGUGUGGAGUCAAACCCCGUUUUCCUACAAAGGGAAUAUUUUUGCACAGCUUUUGCAUUACUGGUCACACGGUGGAAAUCUCCACCUCUCUAAGACAGGUUUAUCUUUAAAGCACAUGCAAUCCAGCCCCACCAGCUUGACGUGGUCCGAAACAGACAGUAAUUCACACCUGUUGUGAGGGAGACAGUUACAAUACGUCAGGUGGUUAGAGUGAAGGAUGCAGCUCAGUGAAUUAGGGGCCGGGUUUCCUGUGACACAGCCCCGUCGCUGCUCGCAGCCAGAAAUCUAAUCACUUCCAGUCUGGGCCAGUUGAUGAUGACAGUCAGGAAAUAAACUCAUGCAGCAUGUGGUGUUUAAUGAUUGUAAUCGUCCGCCUUCUGAUCCAGUCCUCGCCAGGCAUUCUCAUUUCAUUAUUUUAAACGCGUCUGACAGGUGUGAGCAGCACGAAUAAUCCAAAGUAAUCGAAAACAUCUUAAAACGGGGAGCGGGCACAUAAAGGGUCCAUAUACGUCGUGACUGGAAGCUCUAUUUUUGACUCCCGCCUUAUUUCAACCAAAUACGAGUUUGCUUUUCAUGUUUUUUGUUAUCGUUAGAGCUCCAUUUGCUGCAGUCGUCAUGUUUUGUUGUCACUAGGUCCGUACUGACAUGCACUCAGACUAGCUUGACCCAUAUUACGUUCUGAGGCCUCGCUGCAGUUGUAGAUCAUUGUAAUAACGGAUCUCUAAGUGUCGCAUGGUAUUUUGUGUUAAAUCAUUUAAUAAAAAAAUUGCAAUGUUUCCCCCAAAGCAGAUUCAGAUGUUACCACUUAAGAAAACAAAAGAUGAAGGAAAGACAACUCCGAGUGCUGCAGGCAACACUAUGCUCGUGUGCUUGUAUCAACCUUCAACACAUCAUCAAGGUAAAUAACAGCUUCACUAUUUCUUGCUACAGUGCAAAAAAAAAAGGAAACUCACGCUGUGUGAACAUCACACGCUUAUGACUUCUCUCAAUGCCAUUAACAGUGAGUGUACUGGUUUCUAAAAUGCACUCGUUGUGCCUGAAUGCUGUCCUGAAGGUCAGUUCUUUAAAAAAAACAAAAAAAACCCCACGCACUUUAACUCACGGGUCCCUUUGUCAUGGAGAUGGAAGCCAGUUGUGCACAGAGGUGCUUGGAGGUGCUGUAGUGGCUUCACCUCAUUGGCUGAAGGCUUUGAAGUGGCUGUUCAGACACUUGGGCAGCUUGUUCAAAUGAAGAAGGUACUGAAGAUGCCUUCAAUAUGCUACUUGCUGCCAAUGUCCUUGUUUCUUCUUCUGUCACCAGAUAAAAAAAAAUUGCAGCCAAUUGGAAGAGCCAGAGGAGUUGCAUGAAACAAAUUUGUAGAGAAACAGCAGUUAAAAAAAUAAAUUAAAAAAACAGCUGGUGAAGGAGUAGUUUGGUUUUAAAUGACAUUAGGUUUAUAUAAAUGCCAUUAAAAAUGCUAUCUUUGAAUUUUUACCACUAUAUAGAUUAGGCUAACAGUCAGAUUGCUGCAGUACCUUUUUGAGAAACUUAGGUCUUCAGCGAUGUCAGAAGUUAUUACUUAUUGCUGUGGCAACAGGGAAAAGUGUGAUAUAAAAAAAAAGUAAGACAACACAACAGAUGCGUCUAAAUUUAUAAUAACUCAGAUGAGAUUUUCAUAUGGUGUGAAAAAACACAUUUCACCUUUGUUUGAAUGUGCAUGUGCAAACCUCUGGACUCAUCAACAAGGGGUUUUUUUGGAAUAUGAAACCAGUACUUUUGCUUUGGGAGUUCAAUUAAUGACCAUGUUUCUAACGUCUCAUGGUCGUUAACAUGAUAAUCAAACAUAUAACACAAUGUUGCUGUUUUGUUUUUAGUUUAAUCCGUUUUUAUUUUAGGAUUAGUUGUGUUUAAAUUAAAUUUCCUAAUUGGCAAAGCGUUUUAGGACACGCAGUCAUAAAUAUGUAUAUGGAAAUGACAGAUACACGGCUAAAAAGGAACAGGCACAAGCCGCAGACUGAGGGAGACAGGCCUCUGUGGUGAGCGGGAGGUUUGUCGGAUGUCAGCCAGCGGAUGUAGAACUCGUCCACUGCUGUACACCUCAAGGUUCCUGGAUUUUAUCUACACUUUCAGCUGUUGUCUAGUUUAUUUUCUUUCUGUUCAGUCUCUUGCUCAGCGGGUGAGAUGUGUCUUUAGUUGCAUUACAUUAUUUUGUUUCUUGGACAAUGUGUUUUGAAUCAUUGAAUGGCCCGUUCUAAUAAACCUUCUACUUACUUGCUAGUCCUAACUUUUUCCGCUCAUGUCACGCAAGAGGUGAACAGGCAAAAAACAAAAGCAACAAGGAUGUAUUUUUAGAGAAAUGACAUGUCCUCUACUUUGACCUUGUCCGUUUCUGCUGACAGCGGCACAGCUGGUUCCUCUGUCAGUUUGUAGAGCUACAGUAUAGGUGCGUGUUGAAGUUUAAUUUGAACAGAUUCAUCCAAAUAAUAAUAAUAAUGAUAAUGAUAAGAUGAUGAACAAUGAAAGAUAAUAGAUGCACUUGACAACACAUUGGUAUCUCACUGAUUUGCAAAGCAUCAUUACGUGUAUUUAUCUUAAGAUCAAACCAGUUUGUUAAGCAUUUGGAGAAUGCACGCUCUGCAUUUCCAAUCAUUGAUAAGGUAAAUGCAGUGUAGCCUUAUUAUUACCCGGUUUGAUCACAAUGACUGGAUUUGUUGACAUUAUUGUUAUACUACUUGAUGCACAAUGACAAUUAUUUUUAAUCAAAAUUUGAAUUGCUUCUACUCAGUGAUGGAAGCUGCUUUGCACUGCGAUUCAGGUGUGAUGGAACAGACACAUUAGGAAGCAGCCACUGUCUUAGCUGGUGACGCAUCUUCUAAUUAACGCAGUUUUUUAAUAAUUAUCAGAGAAAACAUUUCUGUAAAAUACAUAGAAUGACAAAAGCAGAUUAUUUUCUGCUGAGUUAACUCUUGACUGGACAGGAUUGAGAUCGAAGCAGCAGAAACAGUGUCAGGCGUGAGCUUGCAUGCUUUCGAUUCCUUUUCACUUAGGUUUUUCCAGUCACUCUGGCAGAAGUUCAUCUUGCUCUCAUUAGGCCAAAUUCCCCUCACGUCCUUUUGCCAAUAGAUGUUGUGUCUGUGAGAACCUGUCAGUGCUGUCCAGCCUUUGUUGAGACUUGACUCUUCAAUUAAGUUUUUUUACAAACAUUAGAAGACGGCAGUGAGGACGUCUGAGCAAUAGUUAGAAUACAGCUAUGGUUAGCUGCCCCAACACAAAGGGGUCUAUUCAGGGGGAAACACUGGGACUCUGCUGUAUUGGCUAUGCCCAGUGUUUGUACAAUAGCUUUGAUUGAUUUUUGCUUCUUUUUUUCAGAAUAAAAAGGGCCUCUGCUUCAUCCAAUGAACAGCUCUCUGUGCAGGCUGGCCUAUUCUCUUCAACAACGCACGCAGCCUCAUCCCAAGGCUCUGAGCAUAAGUAGGCAUUUAGAGCCAACAGUCUGAACAAUCAAUCUCACUGGAUGCACCGAGCAGGAAACGCCCGUCAAUCAAAUGCCUCAAUACUUCAUAACACACGGGUGAUCAGACACAAAAGGUGCUUCACUUCAUGUUUCUCAUAACUAAAUGUAAUAAGUGGGAAUAAAAGCUGAAACCAGGA